GCUUACAAGACAAGGUUUUAGUUGUGUCC
rnacentral:piRNA from 1 species